GAUGAACGCUGGCGGCGUGCCUAAUACAUGCAAGUCGAGCGAACAGACGAGGAGCUUGCUCCUCUGACGUUAGCGGCGGACGGGUGAGUAACACGUGGAUAACCUACCUAUAAGACUGGGAUAACUUCGGGAAACCGGAGCUAAUACCGGAUCAUAUAUUGAACCGCAUGGUUCAAUAGUGAAAGACGGUUUUGCUGUCACUUAUAGAUGGUUCCGCGCCGCAUUAGCUAGUUGGUAAGGUAACGGCUUACCAAGGCAACGAUGCGUAGCCGACCUGAGAGGGUGAUCGGCCACACUGGAACUGAGACACGGUCCAGACUCCUACGGGAGGCAGCAGUAGGGAAUCUUCGGCAAUGGGCGAAAGCCUGACGGAGCAACGCCGCGUGAGUGAUGAAGGUCUUCGGAUCGUAAAACUCUGUUAUUAGGGAAGAACAAAUGUGUAAGUAACUAUGCACGUCUUGACGGUACCUAAUCAGAAAGCCACGGCUAACUACGUG
rnacentral:rRNA from 1 species